UUUUUAAAAUAUGUGGUAACUUGUAAUAUUUACUCUCUUAGCAACUUUCAAAUAUACAGUAUAGUGUUUUAACUACAAUCAUCAUGCUGUAAAUUACAUCCCCAUGACUUAUUUGCUUUAUAGCUGGAAGCCUGUACUUUUUAACCUCCUUCACCCAUUUCACCUAUCCCCUACCCACCAACACCUCCCUCUCUGGCAAUUCCCAAUCUGUCUAAUGCGUGUCUAAUAUUCCAAGGUAAGAGAUUCAGCAGUCUUAUAAAGGAAGGCACUUAUGUGAAAUGGGGAAGGGAAUCUGGAGAAUAUAAAUAAUUACUUUACAUAUCUCAACAAAUCGUUAGUGUUUUAUACCUCCAGCAGCACCCCACUCCCAGUGGUAGCUGGUAUCACUCAUUUUUUGACACUUUGGGGACUUCUGAUGUAUAAAAUGGAUUAGUUUUCCAUUUUUUCCCACUUCCCAUU